AAUCUACUAAUUGGUAAACUGGAAUGCUAUGGAUUUAGUCCAACUGCUAUAGAUUUUAUGAAGAGUUAUCUCACAUGUAGGACGCAGCGGGUUUAUUACACUGGCAGCUGGUCUCACUCUAAGGUCUUGGACUGUGGGGUUCCGCAAGGGAGCUGCCUGGGACCACUUUUAUACGCCAUCUUCACAAAUGAUUUACCAUCUGUUUUGUGUAAAGCAACUGUACAAAUGUAUGCUGAUGAUUCCACAUUGUAUUAUGCUGCAAAAACCGUCAGUGAACUGGAUUAUGUUUUAUCAGCUGAGUUAAAUAUGGUUUCUGAUUGGAUAAAACAGAAUAAGUUGGUGCUGAAUAUCUCAAAAACCAAAUCAAUUAUUUUGGGAUCGAGUCAUAAAUUGUCAUUAAUACCAAAGAUGAGUUUGAACUUGUCUGGGGAACCUAUAGAACAGGUAGAUAAAGUAAAAUUACUGGGCACAAUAGUGGAUAGUAAGCUGUCAUGGGUAGAACAUAUUGAUAUCAUAGUAAAGAAGAUGGUUAGUGGUAUCUCUGUGGUGAGGAAAUUUCUUUCUUAUGUCCCUACACACAUUGUGGAGCAGGUGGCUAAAUCUUUAAUUUUAUGUCAUUUGGAUUAUUGUGCCCCUGUAUGGUCAUCUAUAUCUAAAGGUCAACUAAAGAAAUUACAAACGACCCAAAACAGAGCUGCCAGGUUAGUAUUACAUUGUCCCAUUAGAACAAAUACUAUUAAUAUGCACCGUCAGCUCUCAUGGUUAACGGUGGAGAAAAGGCUGGUUUUUAAUACAAUUAAGUUUUUUAGAAACAUUGUCUAUUCUUCUCAACCAGUUUUUUUACAUAAGCAAAUUGUUGGCUGUGAUCAGGUACAUUCUCAUGUGGCUAGGUCAGUGGAUGAUGGCCUGAUGAUGUUACCACGCCCAAAAUUAAAUGCUUUAAAGAGAGCUGUUAUUUAUCGUGCCAUCAAUCAUUGGAAUAAUUGCCCAUUGAAUAUACGUAAAAUGAAUGGCAAAGACUCUUUUAGGUACCAUCUGAAAAUGCACUAUUUAAAUUAGUGAGUAAGGAAAGGCCAUAUUUAUUUUAUGAAUGUAAUACUGUAAUCAUUUAUUCAGACUAAUUUAUGAUGAUGUGUAUUGAUGUAUAUAAUGUUAUAGUGCUAUACUGUUUUUAUAUUAACAUUGUUAUGUGAUUUCUUUUUGUUGUGGACCCCAGGAAG
ensembl:lncRNA